rnacentral:rRNA from 1 species
GGAUGGGCCUGCGGCGCAUUAGGUAGUUGGUGAGGUAACGGCUCACCAAGGCGACGAUGCGUAGCCGACCUGAGAGGGUGAUCGGCCACACUGGGACUGAGACACGGCCCAGACUCCUACGGGAGGCAGCAGUAGGGAAUCUUCCGCAAUGGGCGAAAGCCUGACGGAGCAAUGCCGCGUGAGUGAUGAAGGUUUUCGGAUUUGUAAAGCUCUGUUGCCAGGGAAGAACGCUUGGGAGAGUAACUGCUCCACAAAGGUGAC